rnacentral:rRNA from 1 species
UACGUAGGGUGCAAGCGUUGUCCGGAAUUAUUGGGCGUAAAGAGCUCGUAGGCGGUCUGUCGCGUCUGCUGUGAAAACUCGGGGCUUAACCCCGGGCCUGCAGUGGGUACGGGCAGACUAGAGUGCGGUAGGGGAGACUGGAAUUCCUGGUGUAGCGGUGAAAUGCGCAGAUAUCAGGAGGAACACCGGUGGCGAAGGCGGGUCUCUGGGCCGUAACUGGACGCCUGGAGGAGCGAAAGCGUGGGGAGCGAACAGG